ensembl:lncRNA
GUGAGUGCUAUUCCAAAAUGGAGCUGCAUCUGGCUUUUGCUGCAGUGGUGCAGGAGGCAAUUCUGAAUGGAGCUCUGUUUGUUUGCUGCUUGAGACAGGGUUGUCGUUUGUUGGGUCUUGUGUUUUUUGUCAGAGAAUGUAAGCUGAGCAUGAGGGAAACUCCAGGCAGCCUGAGGGGGCUGGGCUGGAGGAGAAUGUUUUGCACCUUUCCCAUGCGUAACAGCCUAACACAGGCAUGUGGAGGAGGAGGAGGAAAAGGAGAAAUAGAAGUGAAGUCUCUCUCAGGAUAUAAAUGGCCAACACAACCCUAACGCUUCAUAUUCUGAUACUGUAUAGUGCUGUCACUCAGGGACCUUUAGGAACUAGGACCUUGGGACUGUAAUCCUACCUGUUCCCCUCCUAUCCCCCCUUCACCUUCAGUAUUGAAAACUGAAGAGAGAAAGAGCAGAAGAGGAAAAUAAGAGCCCUGGUAGCAAACCCCCUGCUAUUCCAUGGGUGAAAGUAAAGCUUUGGUUACUAAGAUAAAAGGAAAAUGUAUACCUUUAUAUUCGUGUCUUCAAGCAUAAACCAGCCCAUAGUGUAUAUAGGAUAAGUUCACAGUGCAUGAAACAAACAGGACUAUAGGUCUUAACUGGCAUCCAGCUUUCUUGCAUGCACAUCUGACACCAUGCCAGCAGCUUAUGUCUUGCAAAUAAGUAGGGAACCUGCCAAGGCUUGGCGCUUCCUCUGUCCAAUGGACAGCACAUCCACUUCCCAGAAACAGAGCCGUGUGAGGGCCUGAUUGGGCCGGUCUGUUUGACCAGAUCUGCUCCAGAGGCUCUGGCGUGAGGAGAUAAGGGGUGGGGGAGGGAGUUGGUUUUGUUUUCCUUUUUAUGGGGCGGGUGAAAGGGUUUUAAAUCUCUGAACUGUUAUCAAGCCGAAGUGAAACCUCUGGAGCUGUGCAGACCAAAGGACAGUAAUUAGUAAAAUCCUAGUGGAGAGGAUGGGAUGAGGUAGAACGAGCUAGAACUUCAGAGAUGAUUAGGAGAGAGCUAGUGGAAAUAUACGUGCACUAUAAUAGGUUUGAAAAGCCUAGAGCAUUGGAAAAUGGGGACCUGCAGUGAGCCAGAUGGGCUGGGUGCAGCUGCAGGCAGCACUCAAGGAAACCCAGCCAUGGCAGCAGUCCCUGGUGGGCAGAGACCACAGACUCUGGAAGAUGGUGAGGUUGGGAACUGGGAAAUAGAGGGAGACUCGUGGCGCUCUGCCUUCAGAAUGAGCUUAGUCCCUCUAGGCAGGGACAAUCAUUUGCAUCUGGACAAUGUUGCAGGAGCUAAGCUGGGAUAUGCAGAGGAGCUACCACUGUCCCAAGCCGGGGCAAUGGCUGGGCUCUGCCCUGAUGUCAGAGAUAAGAGAUAACCAGGCAAGAAAUGCUGUGCAGGUUACCAAACGCUUUAUUGGAAAUGAGACUGGGCUUACCAAGCAGGGUGGGAUGUCUUUGCAACCGUCAUGGAAACUGGGUUGGGGGCAUGGGUUGGGCAAGAGAUGUGAAACCUAUGUGUUGGACACAGUACCUAACGCAGAUGCUGGGAGGGAGGGAGGAAGGGUGGGAGAGAGGGAGGGAGGGGAGUGGAGACUGGGUACAAGAAGAUGUAUAUAGCGUUGGGGCUUGGUUUUUAUUCUUUUUCAUUUGGUUUUAUUUUGGUUGGUUGGUUGGUUGAUUUUGUUGAGGUUUUUUGUUGGUUUGUUUUUUUUUUUUAAUUUUUAAAUAAAUGUUUGAUUUCUAAUGUCUUGAUGUAAACCAAAUAAAAAUGGUUCUGUACAUUCAGAAGAACAGCUGAAAGGUGACAAGCGUAAUAAAGAAGCACUGUCCUCCAGGCUGAUACAACAAUACCAUUUCCCAGACUUUCCCACAGGGAUUGGAGGGUGAAUCUGUGCCUGUGCCUGCCCACCAAAAUGGUGACCUUAGGGCUGGCUCCCUGAUCCACCUCCAAGUCCAGUGAAGAGGUGGGCAGUAGAGGAGGAAGUCAUGUUGUAUAAGUAACUAUUCAGUGUUUGAUCCCACCAUCCGUGAGGUCAAUGAGAGGAGGCUGUGUAUUAGAUCCUGAUCCCUUGCACAUUUGGCCUCUUCCUGGAGAGCCAAACUGUACUAUGCCUUACUGUAUCUUGGGAUGUAGUAGUGAAGGGAUGAAAAUGAUAUCAGGUAUCACUUGCAUAAAUAUAGUAAUGCAUGUGGAGUAAAGGCUGUAUGAGCCUGAACAGUCUUGGAGAAGCUGCUGUUGCUGAUGCUGCUUUCUGCCUUGUGAUUUGGUCUAGGGUGACAAGUGUUAGGAAAUGCCCAGCUGCUGAGAAGAGUUAUCAAGGAAGCCUUCAAUGUUGACAGACUUCUCUUAAGAGCCUUUGCAUUUCAAUAGACCUUUGUCUGCAAGUUCCUGGCUGUUUGGGAAGAGAUGGAAAAGAUGGAUUUAGAAGACAGUGCAAAGCAGAGACCUUGAGUUAAGCUUAGCUAUCUGUUUUAGUGGCCACUGGACUUGCAGAGAAAAAUUCUUCAGCAGAAGAAGCACAGAAGGUCAGAGGUGCAAAUGAGCAGGCUCAAGUUUAUGGCAUUGACUGAUUCUGGACCAAGGGACAUUUGGUCUCCAUGCAGCUUCCAGUUAGCAGAAAUGAGUGAUAGGGGAAUGCCAUAGAUGAUAAUGGUAGUGGGUCUGAAACCUAUAGGUAACCAUCUGUAUUAUAACCAAUCUUUGUCUGGGCUGGGAAGAAUGCCAAGAGUGAAAAAUAAGAGGUGAAACUGUUUUCUGAAGAACAAAUGCCCACUCAUGAUGUGCUACCACAGGGAUGUUAAGCCAAGAGGUAUGAAAGCAAACAAGAUUAGACCUCUAAGUCCGGGGCAUCCUUCCCAGGAAAGGCUAGACCAUUUAUGCCAAUCUGUCAUCCUCUCAAACUGCACUCAUCCAUCUUCCCUUCAAAGAUGAAGAAGUGGCAACAUCUUCUCUAACUGGGGACGUCUUAUGUGGCCAGAAUUUCAAACAAAGUCCUAACUGAACAACAGUGACAACAGGGAGAUCAAUGGCAAUGUCAAUAUACAUUAUCAAAGGGACUGCUGUGAACCAUCUUGGCAUACUCUGAGUGGCCGCGUUGCAUCCUGUACAGCAUUACAAAAACAAACAGAAGAAAAAGAAAGAGAAAAAAAAAAAAGAACAAACCACCCAUUUUUAUGUUCUUUAAUUUGCAUUUUCUGCAUGAAAUAAGACCUUGAUCCUUGUCUUUUUUCACAAAAGCAGGUUCUGCUUUAACUAAUGUAAAAAAAAAAAAAAAAAAAAAAAGGAAAGAAAAUAAUGUUUCUAUAGCAAAGUGAUUUAG